rnacentral:rRNA from 1 species
GACGAACGCUGGCGGCGUGCUUAACACAUGCAAGUCGAACGGAAAGGCCCUGCUUUUGUGGGGUGCUCGAGUGGCGAACGGGUGAGUAACACGUGAGUAACCUGCCCUUGACUUUGGGAUAACUUCAGGAAACUGGGGCUAAUACCGGAUAGGAGCUCCUGCUGCAUGGUGGGGGUUGGAAAGUUUCGGCGGUUGGGGAUGGACUCGCGGCUUAUCAGCUUGUUGGUGGGGUAGUGGCUUACCAAGGCUUUGACGGGUAGCCGGCCUGAGAGGGUGACCGGCCACAUUGGGACUGAGAUACGGCCCAGACUCCUACGGGAGGCAGCAGUGGGGAAUAUUGCACAAUGGGCGGAAGCCUGAUGCGGCAACGCCGCGUGCGGGAUGACGGUCUUCGGGUUGUAAACCGCUUUCGCCUGUGACGAAGCGUGAGUGACGGUAAUGGGUAAAGAAGCACCGGCUAACUACGUG